UGUUGUUCCGGCUGGUCAAGUAGUGCCGAACUACUUGUAAAGCUGAAACGAAUGCCUAGAGUGUUGGUUUUACCUCCCUAGAGGCUGGAUGCGUGUAGUCAGUGCGCAAUGGAGAGCUCACGUUGUGCUGGAUCGCUAACGAUCGUGACGAAUGCAAUUUCAUUCAUAAAAAUCCUAGUUCUUGAAACCAGUAGCCAGACAUAGUUAGAAGACAUUGUCACGCGAUGUAAGACACAGACCGCGUUCACAAUACAGGAAGAAUGUCUGGACCGGUUGAUCGAGUGGACAAAACAAGUUUUAAGGUAGGGAGCACUUUGGGAACCGAGCACGAAACAUGGAGUCGGCGACUGUUGGUGAGGCAUGUGAAUGAUUUCAUUUCGGUGGUGACUCGCGGUGACUGCAAUGGAGCAGAAAACACUCCGAGUACGCCCCAAGUCGGAGGAAGUACUCGACGAACAUUAAGAAGUCAAGAUGGUCAGCGAAGAUGUGUGAUGAGUAAACUGUAAGUGACACUCUCGAGAUUGUAUUGUUUUCGGGGCUUGGUACCGGGCUGCUGCAAACGUAACGGAAAUGCAAUCUGUAUGCAUCAUGCCGUUGCCGUGGGAGUGCCGAAGAUGAUGGGUCACUUUCAGAAAAGCGGAUUUCAGGUUGGUGCUAAUCAUUCAGACGCAGAAUCAUUCCUUUUUCAUAUUGUUCGUAUCGUUAAGCAAACUAAUCUCCUUCAAUGAACCGCAACACACCUAAUUCAAUAGGUGCCAAUCCGUGCCCUGGCAUGGCUGGUAUCGCAUGAAUGUUUGAUAGGUUUCCCACAAAACGACAAAACGGACGUUUACCCCAGUGCCUCACGGGCAAAGAUUAUCACUUUCGUUUGAUAAAUACCACCCUUGGGUCAACAGAACACAACAGCAAACGGACCGUUCCUUCCGGUAGUGUCGCUCGCUGGACACGGCAGGGUCUCGGCAAAGACGACACUCAUUAUUGGCCGCUUGUUGAUGUCGUUGCAUUUCGGCACGCUCAUGUUGCGAUAAGUGCAACCCGUUCGAGACCCUCACUGACUGCCCAUUCUUGCCACCCUCAUUGGACCUCCCCUAGAUCGGCUAGAUUCAAUGCCAAUGUCAUGGUCCCUGAAGUCACGGCGAAGGCGUCAUCGUCAUAUCGCGCCCCGGUACGCGUCCUUCGUCAGGCGUAACAAAGCGUAUGGCCAAACAAAACGGCAGCAGCAGCACCAACUUUAUGAAGAAAUCAAACAAAAAUCGAUUCUAAAUCAAACAGAAAAUGUUGUUUAUCGACAAAUACCGUUCGUAGUUGUUGCUGUUGCUGCUGCUGCUGCUGCUGCUUCAUAUCUCUCGCUCUAUUUGCUCUAGAUCGUACUGAAAUCGUACGAAGUUGUGCCAUUGGAAGUUGAUUGCUGCACGGAGGACGUCGUACAAGUUUCGCUGUUAGAUUACCGAGUCCAAGCUCAAGUCAACCCGACCGGCUCGACUGUUUGGAGCUGGAGCGUCUAGGUCGUCAUCGUCGGUAGUAGCUGUGUUGUGUGCCAGCGAGAAUCAGCGUGGACUUUCCAUCCGGGCACUUUUCAAUCCUUCGAUUGUCCGCUGGCGCCCUCGUUGGACGGGCGUGUACACAGCCAGCCCUAGCGGCACUGAGCCUCCUUUGUUUCCAAGCCCCGGCUGGCCUGGCAGCAAGGCACGACGUGUGGGGCGAUUGUGUGCAGAAUGUCAUAAAUGAAAGUUUCCCUCUGUUUACCUUGCACCAGCCAAAUGGGCUCGAUAAUGUCGGACCAGGCCCCUUAGUUUUCCCUCCACUUUUGUCCUUCCGUUCGCUCCCGCAAACUGCAGCGUGUUGCAGCACCAUCCCUUCUCCGCGCCCGCUCGUCAAGUAACAACAAAAUAAGGAAACGGAGCGGAAAGCAAGACAGGGCCAAGAAGUAACACGAUUUUAAUUAGUACACUCAGCACCCUGCACCCAGGAAACGAUGAGCCGGAAAUGAAUGGGUUCUCUUUUUUUCCUGGUCCGGGUAUGUGCUGCUGCUGCAGUGACCGGUCGUUCAAGGUGUCGGGGAGACCCAUUCAAUCAGCGUUGGAAAAUAUUGAUAAAUCAAGCAUUCGAAAAGUCUGAUUAUGCUGGCAAACACAGCGGCAACCGGCGAGCAAGCGAGAAGAGAGCGCCUUGGCGCCCCACCGGAUGGGGUCAAACUGAAUACGUCAAAUUGACAUCAAUCGACGGCACACAGGCACGGCACUCCCGUAGCAAGAAUGGGUGUGAGUGUAUGCGCGCACACGUUGGGUCACGCUCGGUGAAGCUUGUUUCAUCAUGCAAAUUGGUUCCGUUCCAAGCUUUCGUUCGAGCGUUAGACAGACACUCAGGCACAUGGCACUGACGAUAGCGCCAACUUUUGGCGCUUUUCCAAUCGUACCUUUUCCCGUUGUCACUCCUCACGUUACUUCUUCAGGAGCGGGGUUGGCUCAUUUCGAUUUUAUGAUUUUCAGGAUGGUUUUUUUGUUCUUAUUCCCGUGUUCCCGUGUGUCAUGCAUGCCUUUCUUCUCCUAUCACGGCUGUCGCUUGAUCGAAAUGUUUUUUUUUUUUUGGUUGUCCCCCGUACUUCAUUUGCGAUGCGAAUCUCUCAGGCAUGCAGGACGAAGAGUAGUGAUUUGCACAUCAUCGUUCGGGAAGUCGGAACAUUUGUCAAUGUUGCUCGAUGCUGCUGCUGCUCCGAUGAGUGUGAUGAGAAGGAUGAACGCGGUACGACUGUUUGUACAUGGGAAGCAAAUUCAAUCAAUAUACACGUUCGUGCGCUCGACAUGCAAUUUUCGCAGGAACGCAGGUGAAACAGAAAAGUCAGCAUCGAUUGCGCUCAGGCGCAAGGUGGAGAUGAAAACGAAGGACUACCCGGGGUUUGCUCGUCUGCUAGCAUAUGAUUAGUUCCGGGUGUAAUCGUUUGGCAGGUGGAGCUUAGGAUUUGGGUGCGAGAAAGAAUUGGAUGGUGGGAGCAGCACAGUAAAUUGCUUGAUUGCAUGAUGAACUUAGCGAUGUGUGGAUUUAAAUAGAAUACAAAAUCAAACAAAACACGUUGUACGACAUUGCAUCCUCUGUUUUGUUUGUAAAAAGAAUUGUUUUACACAUUUCAAUAUUAUUUUAAACAACACGUACUACGCAACAAAUAAAAAUAUGAAGCAACUGACGCUAAUGACAAAU